GCUAUUUCUUCGGGAUUCAAGCUAGUAUGCAACUGGCUAAACAGUGGAGAAAGCUUGGUUGUUACUGUGCCCCAUCUCUCCUCUAGGGUAGCCAACAAGAUGUAAGCAGAAGUCUUAUGGUGUGGCUUCUGGGAAACCUCUCCAAAGGAAUUUCUGAUUAAAUGAAUACAAGAAGGAAGAGAGACUGGCACAAAAUAGAGAGAAUAACCAGUUAUAAAGAGAAAUGAGAUUUAUGACCAAGGCAAGAGAGGAGAGUUUCAAGAAUAAAGAAAUAAGAGAGCUAAUAGAAGUCUAGGAAGGACUGAGAGAAGACCUCUGGAAAACUGAUCUUCAGAGAAUGAUCUUUGCAGGAAAUCUCUGUUACCUGAAGAUGAAAAGGAAUGUGAACCAACUCUGAUCCCAAUUCAGACCUUCGCCAACUGACAGUUCAGGUGAAGGCCCUCUGGGGUGACCAGAAAGCAAAGAAAAGAUGAGUAUAUUAUUGCUGAACAGUUCUCUUUCAGAAAAAGAGAAUAAAAUAAAGAAAGAGACCUAAGCCUUGAAAUACAGUAAGUGGGAGAAAACCUGGUAUUAAAAGUAGGAUUAAAAAUCUUACAGAUUUAGACAACGAGACUGAUCUCAAACCUGGUGAAAGCAGUAUUUAUUCUGAGUUGCAGAGAAGAUUUAGAAUUUUGGAAAGUACUUCGACACCAUUCCUAAGUUCAAGCAAUAUUUUAAUAUCCUCUCUCUCUCUC
rnacentral:lncRNA from 1 species